AGCGAACGCCGGCGGCAGGCCUAACACAUGCAAGUCGAACGGAUCCUUCGGGAUUAGUGGCGGACGGGUGAGUAACACGUGGGAACGUGCCCUUUGGUUCGGAACAACUCAGGGAAACUUGAGCUAAUACCGAAUGUGCCCUUCGGGGGAAAGAUUUAUCGCCAUUGGAGCGGCCCGCGUCUGAUUAGCUAGUUGGUGGGGUAAUGGCCUACCAAGGCGACGAUCAGUAGCUGGUCUGAGAGGAUGAUCAGCCACAUUGGGACUGAGACACGGCCCAAACUCCUACGGGAGGCAGCAGUGGGGAAUCUUGCGCAAUGGGCGAAAGCCUGACGCAGCCAUGCCGCGUGAAUGAUGAAGGUCUUAGGAUUGUAAAAUUCUUUCACCGGGGACGAUAAUGACGGUACCCGGAGAAGAAGCCCCGGCUAACUUCGUGCCAGCAGCCGCCGUAACAC
rnacentral:rRNA from 1 species